rnacentral:lncRNA from 1 species
GGAAAUUGUAUAUUUGGAAUUCUCUUGGCUGAUAGAAGAAAACCUUCAAUCAACUGAUAAUCUUCACCAUAGCUUGUAAUUACAAGGAGAACUUCUGAAUUGUACUCCAAAUCUGUGAAUGACCCUCAGGCCACACAGGUGUAGCCUGUAGCUAAGAAAAAAGACAGUUAAAGAAAGAAAGAAAAUUCAUCCUGGACCUUUCCUUCUGUAGGAGAAAUCUGCUGGAGACAUGUGGACUUGAAGAAUGCUCAACUAGCCCUGCCCUACAGACUAGCAGAGACGCAGGGACCAAACUCUGUGACAGUCAUCCUGUUUAUCUGCAAAGCUUGAAAACCACAGAAUUACCCAGAGUCUGUUAACAAGUCCAUUUAUAUCAUUGGCUAAACCUCCUGUGACCCUGUGUGGCAGUGGGGGGU